rnacentral:rRNA from 1 species
UAAGACGUAGGGGGCGAGCGUUGUCCGGAUUUAUUGGGCGUAAAGCGCGCGCAGGCGGUUCGGAUAGUCGGGUGUGAAAAUCCGGGGCUCAACCCCGGACCUGCAUCCGAUACUUCCGGACUGGAGGCAGGUAGGGGAGAGCGGAAUUCCCGGUGUAGCGGUGAAAUGCGCAGAUAUCGGGAAGAACACCGGUGGCGAAGGCGGCUCUCUGGACCUGUCCUGACGCUCAGGCGCGAAAGCUAGGGGAGCGAACAGGAUUAGAUACCCUGGUAGUCCUAGCCGUAAACGAUGGGUGCUAGGUGUGGGGCGGCGAUCGACCCGUUCCGUGCCGUAGCUAACGCAUUAAGCACCCCGCCUGGGGAGUACGGCCGCAAGGCUA